rnacentral:lncRNA from 1 species
GUCCAGUUUUCUCCUUUUUUUCCUUUUCUAUAUUUUUUUGAUAUCUUUUGAUUUUGAACUCCAAAUUGAUCCGAAUAAAUUCCAGAAAAUUUGUAAAAUCAUGUUUUAUCAUGAUUCAACUUUUGGGAGUAAUUUCCCCUCAAAAUAAAAUAUAUAAAAAUACAUUUUCCCUAUAAAUGCCUUUAGGGCUAUAUAACUAUUUAAAUAAAAUAGUUUUUCAACUCCAAAUAAUUAUCCAAAAAUUAUGGGAUAGCUUAUUUAUGCAAUAAACCCCUUUUAUAAAUAAACCC